CCGAACUCCUCUUCGUCGCCAUUGGAUCGGCAACGGGAAACCCGCCCUCGGGAGCACCCACGAGCCGGAAGAUGUUGACGAUUAGAUCCCUUCCCACGGGAGCCGCGCUGGAGAAGAAAGGUUGAAUCAGACCUCUUCGCGAACGAAUAAUUGCAAAGGAGGGAUGGCUUCAUUAGGGUAAAUAACUGCCAAUAAUAGGGGUGAUUCGGUACACCUGUAGCGGAACUUUUGUAGAUAUCAAAGAGCCUCGUUAGUUCUACUGUCAAAUUUCCAAGUCAUCCAUGUGUCCCUCGAUCGACUGCUGAAGCAGUCGUAUGAAUGGAGCCGGUGGACAACGUCUUAUCCGUUUCUUUUAAGAACUACCCACGUGAGAUGUAAUUUAGACAAGGAAACCUGACCACUUGAGUUAUGUUUUUUAUUUUAUAGUGUUCUAUUUGUUAACCAUCUUAGAAAA